GGUAGUUGGCUCAGUGGUAGAGUGCUUGCCUUGCAUGCAUGAGGCCCUGGGUUCGAUUCCUCAGCACCA
rfam:Dipodomys ordii contig_34962, whole genome shotgun sequence.